rnacentral:lncRNA from 1 species
CUGACUGAUUGUUGUCACACACUAACUGUGACGUGCAGGAACAUUCUGGUGUGCAGAGAGCUCAGUGGUAAAGGUCUAAGGAUGUUGGAAAUCCAAUGUAGCUGGCUUCGCGAUGUCUCUCCAGCUCAUGGCUUGAUGAGUGGUGUAGUCCAACGCCUGGGAUCUGAACCUGCAAACCCCAGCCGCCAAAGCGGAGCACACUGAACUUACCCAUUAUGCUGUGGGACCGGCCCCAGACAUUUUCACAGCCCUGUUGUAGCAUGAAGAAUCCCACCUGCCUCAUUCCUUCCUACUCGAACAGAUGGAUCGUAAAGGGUGACAAGAGCAGGAGAGCAGAGUGCCUGGAGAAGUCAUGCCUAGUCUCUGUAUUCUAGCUCAAAAGAGAUACUUGUCACUCUCUCUCAGAGUCAAUUGGCAAGAGCUGGUCACAUGGACACACCCGUGCAGGAAGACUGGGCGUUGAGGAAAAGCACGUGUAUGUUUGG